AAGUCGUAACAAGGUUUCCGUAGGUGAACCUGCGGAAGGAUCAUUAAAAGAUUAGGGUCUCACGGCCCGAAAUCCAACCCUUUGUUGUUUAAAACACCUUGUUGCUUUGGCGGGACCGUCUGCCUCACGGCGGACUGUCGGUCCUUCGGCCCGGCAUGCGCCCGUCAGAGUCCAACCAAACUCUUGUUAUAACCGGUCGUCUGAGAAUAAAGAUUUAAUCAAUUAAAA
rnacentral:misc_RNA from 1 species